AGAUUAUAAAAAAAUAAAGUGAGUUGUGAGUGUGUCUUCCUUGUAAUAUUACUCCAGUAAUUCAUAUUAUUGCCAACAGAGGAUGCCAUAUUGCAAUAGGCCGCAGAACCUGAGACGACCUGCAUCUGGACUUAUUCCAACCAAAAAUUAGCAGCAACGGUACUGGUUACAGAUUCAGAAAGCUUGAGAUGUUGGAAUAUCCAGAGGUUUCGUGACCUCCAAAUGAACUAAAGGGUCAUACAAAGAAGUUCCAUCUGAUCCUGCACUCUUAUUUUUAUUUUGUUAUUUCAUAAAUGUUCUUUCUUCUUCUUUUGAAUGCUCUUAGAUGUAAAGUAAUAUAAACUACUUGUAAAAUUAUAAUUUUUAACAAAAUUAAUAGAAAAUUAUAUACAUAAAUUAAA
rnacentral:lncRNA from 1 species